AGGACGAACGCUGGCGGCGUGCUUAACACAUGCAAGUCGAGCGGAAAGGCCCUUCGGGGUACUCGAGCGGCGAACGGGUGAGUAACACGUGAGUAACCUGCCCCUAGCUCUGGGAUAGCUCCGGGAAACCGGGAUUAAUACCAGAUACGACCACUUUAGACAUCUGUCGUGGUGGAAAGGAUUCCGGCUAGGGAUGGGCUCGCGGCCUAUCAGCUUGGUUGGUGGGGUAACGCCUACCGAGGCGACGACGGUA
rnacentral:rRNA from 1 species